GUUAUAACACCUUGCUUCUCCUUCAUCCUUCCUUUACAUCAGAGGUAUAAUUAUAAAACCUUGCUUCUCCUUCAUCUUUCCUUUACUUCAGACUUUUGCUACACUUUGCUCACACCACCGAAGGUUGCGUGAACGACUGCCGCUUACAGGAGUGUUUGGGGUUAUGUCUAAAGGAAUCAGCUGUUAAUCUCUUCAGGAAGACAGACAUGGCGUCUAUAAGUAUUUCCACCAUUACACAUGGGGAUUCAGCAGAGCCCAUGAGGUUAGAGUAGUAAGAAAAUGGAUAUCACAUGCUUUCAACAACGAGUGCUGCUACCUGUUCGUGGACUUGGCUGGUGACGCGAUACAAGUUGUUGUUGAUGAAAACGCCAAAAAGCAUCUUGAAUCUAAAUCAGUUUCCAUUCUUGCUAUCGUGUGAGUCACUACUUAUCAGGAGAAGCAAGAGAUAAAUACAACGUUGUCAAACAUGAUGUCAUUCUUAGGCUUGGCAAAGGAACCACUUUCGAAUCCAUACCGGAUUUUGGUUUCCCUUUUCACUAUUUCAACUUCCUACCAUACACAAAUCUCAAAGAACGCAUCGAUAAUCAUACCAUACUAACAGACUUCAUCGGUAGAUUUGUUAGAUUUACAUUUGAUAGACCUACAGCUUCUAACAGAAGGCUACUAAAGUUUGAAGUUGAAGAUAUCAGUGAAAAGUUCAUUGAGGUUUCCCUAUGGCAAGGAGAUAGCUGAUACUAUAGAUAAAGUCAGUUUCACGCGCGCGCCAUUUCCGGCUAUUUUAGCACUCACGUCAAUGAAAGUCGGAAUAUAUUAUGAUCUCCAACUGACAUCUACCUCUGCUACACAUGUUUACCUGAACCCUGAUGUAAACAUAUGCAAAACCAUCGCUUUAACGUUCAAAGCCAGGUAUAACGAUGCAUCCACCAACCAAAGGAAUAAUAUCACCCUAGCACAACUUUUGGAAUUGAAUCCUGCCUAACAAAGUAACAAAACAUUUAGCUGCCUAGGAUCAAUUACAGAGUUCAUUCAAGGGAAGUCUUGGUACUACAAAGGUUGCAAGAAGUGCAACAAAAAGCUUGAUGCAAAAGGCAGUGCCCUCGCAUGCAUAAAUCACCUAGAAGAGAAAGAUCCCAAAUUUGUGUACUGUGUUAGUGCAAUCUUGGCCGACAAUACAAAAACAGCAAUGGUUACUCUUUUCAAUGAUGCUAUUCUCUCGCUGAUAGAUACACCAUGUGUUGAAAUGGUUACUCAGCACGGUUAUGACAACCCACAACAAAUACCAAAACCACUGGAGAUCAUUAGAGGUAAAGAGAAGAUUUUCCUCUUGCAGUUCAAUAACCGCUUCCGGCAAGGUACAACAAGCUUUGUGGUCAACCAGGUUUUUGACCCACCUACAUCAGAAACUCCCACCAUAGCACAAGGCGAAGCAAUCUCAACACCAACAACGACGCCUGAAAUCCAACCCACAACUCCCGCAAUACAAUCAACAAGAAAACGUGGACUACUGAACCCAACAGAUGAACAUCAACAGAAAACACCAAAAUCUCUCGCCCCAUAAAAGGAAACAAUGAUCUCAUUUUGGAUGUGGCGACAUUAUAAAGUACAACCUUUUGUAAACGCAGCAACUGUUUUGUAAAUAGUUGUGGUAGACACAAGGCAACUUCUUUUGCGUAUCCACUGUAAAAUAGCAAUCUUAGGUGGUUGUCUUAGACAACGUCACUUUUUUUGGGUAUCCAAUGUAAAUAACCUGAUAAUCCUUGUAAUAUUUUCACUAUAUACCUUUACAACUGCUUUCAACAACUAAUAGUGUCAUAUUACGUGAAA